rnacentral:lncRNA from 1 species
CCUGUGUCGCCUGGUCAGUCUCUCCUACCUGUAGUCCGACCCCCUGGCUCAGUCUCUCUCCCUCCUGUUAGUCCGCCCCUGGCCAGUCUCUCUCCUACCUGUAGUCCGCCCCUUGCCAGUCUCUCUCCUACCUGUCAGUCCGCCCCUGGCAGUCUCUCCCUACUGUAGUCCUGCCCCUGGCCAGUCUCUCCCUACCGUAGUUACUGAGGGCCUUCUCUCAUACGUAGUCCCACUGCCGGGCCACAGUCUCUCUCCUACCUUGUAGUCCACUGAGGGCCUCGUCUUCUCCUACUGUCGUCCACUGAGGGCCAGUCUCUCUCCUACCUGUAGUCCACUGAUGGCCAGUCUCUCUCCUACCUGUAGUCCGCUGAGGGCCAGUCUCUCUCCUACCUGUAGUCCACUGAGGGCCAGUCGUUAUAAUCUUCAUACGUCUCUGUAUUUAGUGUUUGCUGGUCUUCUUAGCCAGAGUCUUCAGUUAUACAGAGCGGUCGACUGUCAGUUCCUCACCUCCUUUCAGCACCUUCCAUACAACCUACACAGGACGGACACGGGACAGACUGUAAUAUACGGUAGUAACAUGUCAUAGCCG